GGAUUGACCAUUUUUUAUGUGAAAAGUCAUCUGCAGGUUCAUGUACACUUCAAGCAUUUUUACUGAACUUAGCAAAUGGGUUUUCCAUGAAAGAGGGCAUCUCAAGGUAAUUUGGCUUCAUUUGUGUUGAUGUUUGAGCAUGGAAUGGAGUUGGAUAAUGCUAAGAUAUUUUGAAGUGUUGGGAUUAAGUGAUGGAGCAGUUUUGAGUUUGUAUGACAUGAUUUGGUAUUGGUUUCUAAAACUUGAAUGUAUUGGGAAUGGAUAAGUUUGUAAAAACAAAUGUAAAUUUUUAUAAUAUUUUCUUUUUAAAUUAUUGUACGUGUCAAUUUUGAUCUCUAAUGUUGGA